rnacentral:rRNA from 1 species
GGAAAAGUUAGCGUGUGCUAUACAUGCAGUCGAACGGGAAUCUUCGGAUUCUAGUGGCGGACGAGCGAGUAACACCUCCUAACCUGCCCCGAACUCAGGGAUAAGCACUGGAAACGGUGUCUAAUACCGGAUAGUCCCGCAAGGGUAAAGAUUUUUCGGUUCGGGAGGGGCCUGCGUCCUAUCAGCUUGUUGGUAAGGUAAUGGCUUACCAAGGCUAUGACGGGUAACUGGUCUGAGAGGAUGAUCAGUCGCGAUGGAACUGAGACACGGUCCAUACUCCUACGGGAGGCAGCAGUAGGGAAUAUUCCACAAUGGGCGAAAGCCUGAUGGAGCAACACCGCGUGGUCGAUGAAGCAUUUCGGUGUGUAAAGACCUUUUCUGAGGGAAGAAUUAUGACGGUACCUUAGGAAUAAGCACCGGCUAACUCCGUGCCAGCAGCCGCGGUAAUACGGAGGGUGCGAGCGUUAAUCGGAAUUACUGGGCGUAAAGCGUGCGCAGGCGGUUAUACAAGACAGGCGUGAAAUCCCCGGGCUUAACCUGGGAAUGGCGUCUGUGACUGUAUGGCUAGAGUGUGUCAGAGGGGGGUGGAAUUCCACGUGUAGCAGUGAAAUGCGUAGAUAUGUGGAGGAACACCAAUGGCGAAGGCAGCCCCCUGGGAUAACACUGACGCUCAUGCACGAAAGCGUGGGGAGCAAACAGGAUUAGAUACCCUGGUAGUCCACGCCCUAAACGAUGUCAACUAGCUGUUGGGGCCUUC